GGGUGAUUCUUUUGGACUAAUUCAUGUGGCUGCAAUUGGAGCUGGAUGAUCUAAAUGGUCUCACUCCUAGGUCUGGCUGUUGAUGUUGGCUGUUGGCUGAGCCAGGGGCCGCCAGCAGGCUAGCAUGGGCUCUUCACUCAGCAGCAGGGUUCCCCAAGAGGACAAGCCCAACACACAUGUGCUUUUCAAGCCUGUGAUUAUCAGGCUUGAAAUACUGCAACAUCUGCUGCAAUCAGUAACAACCACAUAAGAAAGCAAUGACAAGUUAUGAUUACUGCUCUGGAGGGAGUGAGCAGGAUGCUGUGAGAGAGGGUUACUAUUCCAAGUGGCACCUGGGCCAGCAGCAUUGGCAUCACCUGGGACUUGUGAGAAAUCCAGCAUCUCAGGCUCCACUGCAGGUCUCCUAAAUCAGAAUCUACAGUUUAACAAGAUCCCCAGCAGAUGUGUGUGUAAGCUCAAGAACCUGUUGAGAGGAGCACCUAGCAUAAGACCUGGCUUGUGACAGAUCUGCCACCCUCUAGCUGGGUGACUUUUAGACAAGUGAUCGACCUCUCUGAGCCAGAGUUUCUACCUUGUAAAAAAAAAAAAAUCCCUUCCUGCAUGGUCAGCUGUCAUGAAAAGGACACAUGGUGAUGGGCAGACAAAGACAAGGCUUAGCUUCGUGUUUGACUCCUAGGAGCGCCCAGUUCAUGGAGGCUGCUGCUGUCACUAAUCUGUUUCCAUCUUCCCCUGGGAAUCCUGAGGUUUAUCUGUGAGCCUUUGGACUGCUGUAUGGACAACAUACUCUGCAGUAGCAUGAAGAAGUGAGUGAAGACCCUCCCUUGAACCGUUUGCCCUGAAAGAACAGAAGUCACAUCUUGAUAUCUCAGUGCCUUUACAGUGCCAGGGAUGGGGUAGGUGCUGAGCGCCUGGUAUGUGCUCACCCUAUGCUGUACAACACACAGAAAGCCCCACAGGGUUUGAACUGUAAUUAGGUAGAGGGUGUGUGGGACUCGCCUUGGGUCUCUGACUUUGGCUUCUGCUCCCGGCCUUGGAUAGGCUGAUAUUUUCUAGUAGAUAUCAGAGACUCCGGUUGAUAGCACCACAAUGGCUUUUCUCCCAACUUUUUGUUUUACGUAUUAUCAAGCCAACAGAGAAGUUGCAAGAAUAGCACAAUGAACAUGCAUAUACCCUUCACCUGGAUUCACCACUUUUGUUUCAUUUCUCUCAGUAUAUAUGUUUGUGUGUGUUGGAGACAUAUGACAUUUUACCUCGAAACCAGGCAUCUCCUAGGAAAAAGAGCAGCCUCCCAUAUAACAACAAUACAAUGAUAACCCUUAAAAAACUUUGCAUUAAUAAAUCCCAUUAGUUAAUAAAAAAAAAAAAAAA
rnacentral:lncRNA from 1 species